rnacentral:rRNA from 1 species
ACCCAAAUGUAAUAGUCAAGGACUAUUUAAAGGGGGUACAGCCCCUUUAAAAAAGGACACAACCUCCACCAGCGGAUAACCCCCAUGCACCUAACCCCGUGGGCCUUAAAGCAGCCACCCCUAAAGAUUGCGUCAAAGCUCUGCCAACCAAAAACCCCAAAAAUCAAUGCGACUCCCUACACCCCCAGCAGGCCAACCUAUCACAAUAGAUGAAUCAAUGCUAGAACGAGUAACCAGGAUAUUAUGUCCCCCCAAGCGCCAGCCUACACACAUUAACAGCAAAACCCCAAUAAUAAUCACACCCCCACCAUUGAACACACCCUGUCAACCCAACUCAGGGGCGCACAUUGGAGCGAUCAAAGUCUACAAAAGGAACUCGGCAAACCCAAGACCCGACUGUUUACCAAAAACAUAGCCUCCAGCCAAACAAGUAUUGGAGGUGAUGCCUGCCCAGUGACACCACGUUUAACGGCCGCGGUAUCCUAACCGUGCAAAGGUAGCGCAAUCAAUUGUCCCAUAAAUCGAGACCUGUAUGAAUGGCUAAACGAGGUCUUAACUGUCUCCUGUAGACAAUCAGUGAAACUGAUCUCUCUGUAAAAAAGCAGAGAUAAGCACAUAAGACGAGAAGACCCUGUGGAACUUCAAAAUCAGUAGCCACCCCACCCAACUUACAAACCCACCCGGUCCACCACUCAAAACACUGGCUAACAUUUUUAGGUUGGGGCGACCUUGGAGAAAAACAGAUCCUCCAAAAACAAGGCCAAAUCCCUUAACUAAGAGCAACCCCUCAACGUGCCAACAGCACCCAGACCCAGCAAGCCUGACCAAUGAACCAAGCUACCCCAGGGAUAACAGCGCAAUCUCCCCCAAGAGCCCCUAUCGACGAGGAGGUUUACGCCCUCGAUGUUGGAUCA